rnacentral:rRNA from 1 species
GAGAUUAGCUUGCUUUAGCUGUCAGCUAAGUGGCGCACGGGUGAGUAAUGUAUAGGUAAUAUGCCUCUUACUAAGGGAUAACAAUUGGAAACGAUUGCUAAUACCUUAUAUUCCUUUUUAUCAAAAGAUAAAAAGGGAAAGAUUUAUUGGUAAGAGAUUAGCCUGUAUUGUAUCAGUUAGUUGGUGGGGUAAUGGCCUACCAAGACGAUGACGCAUAACUGGUUUGAGAGGAUGAUCAGUCACACUGGAACUGAGACACGGUCCAGACUCCUACGGGAGGCAGCAGUGGGGAAUAUUGCACAAUGGACGAAAGUCUGAUGCAGCAACGCCGCGUGGAGGAUGACACAUUUCGGUGCGUAAACUCCUUUUAUAUAAGAAGAUAAUGACGGUAUUAUAUGAAUAAGCACCGGCUAACUCCGUGCCAGCAGCCGCGGUAAUACGGAGGGUGCAAGCGUUACUCGGAAUCACUGGGCGUAAAGAGCGUGUAGGCGGAUUGAUAAGUUUGAAGUGAAAUCCUAUAGCUUAACUAUAGAACUGCUUUGAAAACUGUUAAUCUAGAAUGUGGGAGAGGUAGAUGGAA